CAGUAGCCGCGGUAAAACCAGCAGCCCAAGUGGUGGUCGCGAUUAUUGGGCCUAAAGCGCUCGUAGCCGGGCCGGUAAGUCCCUUGUGAAAUCGGACGGCCUAACCGUUCGGCGUGCAAGGGAUACUGUCGGUCUUGAGGCCGGGAGACGUCCGAGGUACUCCGGGGGUAGCGGUGAAAUGUUCUGAUCCUCGGGGGACCACCGGUGGCGAAGGCGUUCGACGGGAACGGGCCUGACGGUGAGGGGCGAAGGCUAGGGGGGCAAACGGGAUUAGAUACCCCUGUAGUCCCUGUCUCUUAUA
rnacentral:rRNA from 1 species